GCACGCGUGGCCUAGUGGUGAACGCGCUUGACUAUCAAAUUUUGGUCCCGGGUUCGACCCCCCGUGGGGUCA